rnacentral:rRNA from 1 species
GUCUAUAGCCACACUGCCCUGAGCACACCUGAUCUCAUCUGGUUUCAGAAGCUAAGCAGGGUGGGGCCGGUUAGUACUUGGAUGGGAGAAAACCCCAAGGAGGCCCUUUUCU